GAUUCCUGAAUCAUGAAUAAUAAUGAUAACCCUUUAAUAAAUGAUAUCCUUCAAAAAAGAUCUAGAGACUAGACCAGCUAGGUGAUGCUUUUCCUCACAGCCCUCUCACCUCCCCAGGUACAGAGUUCCUCUUCUGCUUUCUCCCACCAUGUCCUACAACCUACUUGCAAAGGUCCUGAGUGGAGUCCUUGCAAUAGCCAUGCUUUGUCAGUGGCCCAAGGGUGCUAGCCUGUGGCCCAUUCCUGUGGAGAGCCAGAGCACGAAGUAUUCCUAGAGAGGUGGGUGAUAGAUGGAAGCUGAGGACCAAGAAGCUUCUUUGAGGUCUUCAAAGAAGAAGAUGAAUUUCCUGGAGCCCAGGCCUCCUUUUUGCCUGCUUCUUGGUACUCUCUUCAUGGCCUCCCAUGGAAAAUGGAGCCCUUUGGGGUCUGUCUGCCUACUUUGCUGAGGGUUAGCCAUCCGGUGACUGGGACCAUGUGCGGCAGGUGGGUUAAGGAUGUGGGGAGUACUGACGGGAUUUCUCAGGCCUGUGCCUGGCUCUCUUCUUCCUGGUAAAUUGCUUGCUGGCCCUGGGAUCCCUUGUGGGCUUCUUGGCUGAUUUGCCCUUAUUUCUUCCUAUGUGUUGGGAUGUUAUGGGCUCCGUCUGUCUCUCCUCACUCUCAGGAUUUCACCCAGCCCCUGGCUUAAAAUAUCUGUACUCUUAAGCUCUAUUACCUUUGUCUUUACUUGGGAUUUUCACACACACCCCCCAUGACCUCCCCAACACCCUACAUGCAUUGUCCCUUUAAAUCUCAGCAGGCAUCCUCAAUUCCCACACAGUUUAUGUUCCUGCCCACUUUCCCAGGAGGCAUCCUGCCUUGCACUCUCUCUGGCUGAAGUCUCAGAGGCCACCCUGGAUUCCAUGUUCUCUUCACAUCCACAUCCACCACUUUGCCAGUUGUCUCUCGCCUUCCAAAGAGCUGCAGUCUAACCACGGGCCACCUCCGCUGUCACUGCUAGGGUCCAGCUGCAUCUUCCUUCACACAGACCACAGCUGGAGCCUUGUAGCAUCACUGUCCUGGGCCCACUAAAGCAAAAGACCUUAGUGCGGAUCUGCCAUGGUGUUGGCUUUCACUGGCUGAGCUGGCUUUUCUUGGCAGACACCUGCAGUGUCGGAGGGACCAUUGUGCUUCAUCUCUCAAUCCGGCCUAAACUGCUUAAAGGGUUGGUUCUGAGGAGUGUUUUUGUGGUGAAUUUGUUCAUGGCAGUGGUGACUGUCCCAUGCUGUGUUUGAAGGGUGAGGCUUCUCUGAGCAGGGGCAAUUUGGGGUGCUAGCUGUCCAGUCAGGUUUCAUGUGUGUUUGGUUUCAUGUGUUUGGAGUGGGGGCCUUACAGACAUUAAUUAAAGAUCUUUAAUAAAGAAAUAAAAUCAAAAGUCCAAAAUGCUGAGUGCUGUUCUUCCAUGAAUGCUGUUUCUGAGGAAGAUGAUGAUGGUGGUGUUUUUUAUUUUCUUCUUUUGUUAAUUAUUUCCGACUGUAAAAAACCAUGACCACAUGCUGAAAAUCACUUUAGGGAAAUGUUUGGUAACAGUGAAGCAAUGAGGGUCGUCCCAGCAAAUCACCCCAAGUUGCGAACACACAAGCCCUGCCAGCUUUUAUGUAGAGAGUGCUAAUGUGAUUAGAGAGACAGUAAGUCUGGUUUGUGAGCUCAUCAUCCCUGGGCCCUCAUUAUGUUCUCUCUGGAGUUAAUGGAGUCCCAAGAGGUUCUCAGCAAAGCAGAAAUGGUAAUAAAAUUAAGGCGAGAACAGUUUGGAUUAUUUAGUCUAACAGAAAUUAUGGCUUAAACAUUUCUGAGCAAGUAAAGCAGUUUAGAUGAAGAUGAUGAUCAGUUCCUAGCCAUUUCCACAAAGUACAGAGUGAGAAGGAAUGGCCCUCAGCUGAUGAAGAACCCGAAGGACAGAUCCUUGCUAGGAG